AGUGAACGCUGGCGGUAGGCCUAACACAUGCAAGUCGAACGGCAGCACAGUAAGAGCUUGCUCUUACGGGUGGCGAGUGGCGGACGGGUGAGGAAUACAUCGGAAUCUACUUUUUCGUGGGGGAUAACGUAGGGAAACUUACGCUAAUACCGCAUACGACCUACGGUUGAAAGCAGGGGAUCUUCGGACCUUGCGCGAUUGAAUGAGCCGAUGUCGGAUUAGCUAGUUGGCGGGGUAAAGGCCCACCAAGGCGACGAUCCGUAGCUGGUCUGAGAGGAUGAUCAGCAACACUGGAACUGAGACACGGUCCAGACUCCUAAGGGAGGCAGCAGUGGGGAAUAUUGGACAAUGGGCGCAAGCCUGAUCCAGCCAUACCGCGUGGGUGAAGAAGGCCUUCGGGUUGUAAAGCCCUUUUGUUGGGAAAGAAAAGCAGCAGGUUAAUACCCCGCUGUUCUGACGGUACCCAAAGAAUAAGCACCGGCUAACUUCGUG
rnacentral:rRNA from 1 species